rnacentral:rRNA from 1 species
UACGAAGGGGGCUAGCGUUGCUCGGAAUUACUGGGCGUAAAGCGCACGUAGGCGGCUUUCUAAGUCGGGGGUGAAAUCCUGGAGCUCAACUCCAGAACUGCCUUUGAUACUGGCGAGCUUGAGUCCGGGAGAGGUGAGUGGAACUGCGAGUGUAGAGGUGAAAUUCGUAGAUAUUCGCAAGAACACCAGUGGCGAAGGCGGCAUCCUGGACCGGCAUUGACGCUGAGGCGCGAAAGCCAGGGGGAGCAA